CCUACGGGAGGCAGCAGUGGGGAAUCUUGCGCAAUGGGCGAAAGCCUGACGCAGCAACGCCGCGUGCGGGAAGAAGGCCCUAGGGUUGUAAACCGCUUUCAGUAGGAACGAAAAUGACGGUACCUGCAGAAGAAGGUGCGGCCAACUACGUGCCAGCAGCCGCGGUGACACGUAGGCACCAAGCGUUGUCCGGAUUUAUUGGGCGUAAAGAGCUCGUAGGCGGUUCAGUAAGUCGGGUGUGAAAACUCUGGGCUUAACCCAGAGCCGCCACUCGAUACUGCUGUGACUUGAGUUCGGUAGGGGAGCAGGGAAUUCCUAGUGUAGCGGUGAAAUGCGCAGAUAUUAGGAGGAACACCGGUGGCGAAGGCGCUGCUCUGGGCCGAUACUGACGCUGAGGAGCGAAAGCGUGGGUAGCAAACAGGAUUAGAUACCCUGGUAGUCCACGCCGUAAACGUUGGGCACUAGGUGUGGGUUCCAACCAACGGAAUCCGCGCCGUCGCUAACGCAUUAAGUGCCCCGCCUGGGGAGUACGGCGGCAACGCUAAACCUUAAAUGAAUUGACGG
rnacentral:rRNA from 1 species